rnacentral:lncRNA from 1 species
UGCUGAGUAGGAGCAUUUCGAAAGUCAAGCCUUGUUGCUUGCUCAUGGGCUGAGCUUUACCAUAUCAGGAACAGUCUGGACCACAAUUGCAGCAAAUGAGCAGCCACUAGUUUACUUAUCCUCACAUAACUUUAACAUUGCUCGAUACUUUACAUUACAGUUCAAGUACAUGGCAAAUGUAAGGUAGCUACAAGCCUAAGCUACCUACACAUCUUAAUCUUGGGGUUGAAUAUGUGUCCUUUGGCACUCCUCCACAGCUUUUAUCAGAAUUGACCUCUCUCUACGAAGAGCAUUCACUUCGUCGAUCAAUGCUUCCAAUCUCAGCUUCACCAAAAAAUACAAAAAAUUCGCAAUACCAAACAUCACAAAGGAAGCUACUUUGGUGAGAGUUAGCAAUGAUGCAACCUCUGCCCUGACCUGGAGCUGGUGGCUGCCUGUGUAGCAUGGACACUUGGUAGCCUAUAGAGGCUCGGUCUGCGGCCAGGCGGCGGUGCGUUUCGCACAGCUGUGUCACCGGGACACCGGCCUCCCUAGCGUGGUGGCUUUUUGCAGGCCUCGCGCGGCAAUGGCGGCCUUGCCAAGAACGAAGAUGGUGGCCCUCCUCCUGCGGGAGUCUUCGAAGGAAACUCUGCCCAGAUCCUAGUCGGGCAGCGGUGGCAGCGAUGUCGCAUCCCCCCUGGAGGCGCUGUCUAGAAGACCCUAUCGCUUUGGGGGCUACUGGCUUGGGUGUCUCGCUUCGGCCAUCCUAGCUGCACUGCGAGUCAUUGAUCACCUCACCAAAGGCGUGUCUACGUUGUGUGGUGGUUUGGUCGGCGACGGCGAAGGUGCAGCCGCGACAAGCUUGUUAGUAGAGUGAGUUUGGUUAGUAGAGGGGACUAGUAGAGUUAGUUAGCGGAGUAGAGUUAGUUUAGCGGAGAGAUGUCUAUAUUUGUGCACCAACUUGUAAGCUGGUAACCCCUUCAGUAAUUAAACCGGGCGGAUGCCUUUGAUCGGAAAAAAAACAAUAUAUAAUGAAAGAAAUCGAAUACAUAGAUGUAAUGUACUCUAGUCAAUGUAGCUCCGGUUUGUUUCUAUAUUAGAAUAUAUCUAUUAAAUCCAACAUAUAUUAUCAUACUACAAAAGUAUUUCAUAGAAACUUCUGUCCAUAUGAUGUUUAUAUUUGAAAAGUAAAUAUCUAGAAGUUACCGACAGCCAAAGUUUGACCAUACCUUUCAAGAUGUCGAAUUUGUGGCUAGCUUAGAGGGAUUAAACCGUAUUGCAGUAAUCUAUUAUAUAUCUGAUUCUGCGGGAAUACACUGUAAUCACUUAAACAUAAACACAAUCAUUUUACUUUUGUUUUUCCCCCUUUGAUCAGUUGAAACUUGCAAAGAGAAGACUAACGGUGGCAACAAAGAUCAUUACGUGGGAGUACUCUCUCUCUCAAAAAAAUUAUUCAUGCCAUACCUUAUACAUCCAACUAUCCCUUAGGCACAAGCGUAUACUAAAAGCAUGACAAGAGGCCCAAGAUUUUCGGCCACACCAAUCCAGUAAAGGUGGAACGAUUUAAGAGGUGGUCAAUCGGGUACUAGGUUCUUGAGAAAGAAAGAAGCUGGUUUGAAUGGGCCACACGUACAUGCGCAUGAUAUCUGGGAUGAAAUACAAGAGCCGGUUGUAGGAGAUGCGUACCUUGUUAUUGAUUGGCGGCGGCGGCGUUGAUCCGCUAGGUGCAGAAGAAGAAGAGCUAUGAUGACGGGAGCCUGUUGGCCAAGUUCGGCGGGCACGGAGUCCAUAUCGCAAGAGAUGAUGUUGACGAAGCGGCGGUGCGUGGGGGGCGACGACGGCCAUCCCCAUCUUGGUCGCCGCAGAUCGAAGGAGCGCGGCCCCUGCCGCUGCGGCCACGAAAGUAUGAAACGAUCGAUCCCUCCCUUGGCCGGCGAGUAACGAGGGACGAAAGAAAUCCCGAGACGUAUCUCUCUACGAGCACUCCCCAAAUCUGC